AGCGAACGCUGGCGGCAGGCUUAACACAUGCAAGUCGAACGGGCACCUUCGGGUGUCAGUGGCAGACGGGUGAGUAACACGUGGGAACGUGCCCUUUGGUUCGGAACAACUCCGGGAAACUGGAGCUAAUACCGGAUAAGCCCUUCGGGGAAAGAUUUAUCGCCAAAGGAUCGGCCCGCGUCUGAUUAGCUUGUUGGUGAGGUAAUGGCUCACCAAGGCGACGAUCAGUAGCGGUCUGAGAGGAUGAUCAGCCACACUGGGACUGAGACACGGCCCAGACUCCUACGGGAGGCAGCAGUGGGGAAUAUUGGACAAUGGGCGAAAGCCUGAUCCAGCCAUG
rnacentral:rRNA from 1 species